rnacentral:rRNA from 1 species
UGAGGAAUAUUGGACAAUGGAUGGAAAUCUGAUCCAGCCAUGCCGCGUGCAGGAAGACGGCCCUAUGGGUUGUAAACUGCUUUUGUAUGGGAGCAAUAAGGACUACGUGUAGUUUGAUGAGAGUACCAUACGAAUAAGCAUCGGCUAACUCCGUGCCAGCAGCCGCGGUAAUACGGAGGAUGCGAGCGUUAUCCGGAUUUAUUGGGUGUAAAGGGUGCUCAGGCGGAUUUGUAAGUCAGAGGUGAAAUCUUACAGCUUAACUGUGAAACUGCCUUUGAUACUGCAAGACUAGAGUAUGGAAGAGAGUGAUGGAAUAUCUGGUGUAGCAGUGAAAUGCGUAGAUAUCAGAUAGAACACCAAUGGCGAAGGCAGUCACUUGGUCCAUUACUGACGCUAAAGCACGAAAGCGUGGGUAGCAAACA